CAGAGCAUAGCUAAGACAGUAAAGCAUCUCUUUUACACUGAGAAGUCGCCCGUGCAAAUCGGACUGCCCUGA
rnacentral:tRNA from 2 species